rfam:Camelus ferus unplaced genomic scaffold scaffold1536, whole genome shotgun sequence.
UAGCUCAGUGGUAGAGCGUGUGCUUAGCAUGCGCGAGGUCCUGGGUUCGAUCCUCAG